rnacentral:lncRNA from 1 species
UCAGGAACCCUUGGAUCUGCUGCAUGUACCUGAGGAGAUCUAUGACAGAUCCGGACUCUUUGAAGGCAACAAACACCGAUCCACUACCUAGAUCUGUGAUGGGGCACCUCCAUCCUAGGGCUUGAGGGAGGCACCCCACUUUCUUUAGGGAUUCUUCAAGGAACCUAGGGCGACAACACUAGAAAAAGAGAGAAGAGAGAU